AACCGUGGAGCAUGCAACACAUCCCGGCACUGUUUUCGGCCUUCUGUGGCCUCUUGGUCGCCCUUUCUUACCAUCUGAGCCGUCAGAGCAGUGACCCAUCUGUACUCAUGUCCUUCAUCCAAUGCAGGCUGUUUCCUAAAUUUUUACAUCAAAAUCUGGAAGAGUCAGCUGCUGACCCUCUCCCCAAGAAGAUGAAAGAUUCAGUGACGGAUGUCUUAAAAUGGGAUCUCAUCGUCUGCGCAGUGGUUGCUGUCCUCUCAUUUGCAGUCAGCGCCAGCACUGUAUUCCUGUCAUUGCGACCAUUUCUCAGCAUCGUGCUGUUUGCCUUGGCUGGAGCCGUGGGGUUUGUAACACAUUACGUGCUCCCUCAGCUCCGCAAGCAUCAUCCCUGGAUGUGGAUUUCACACCCCAUUCUCAAAAACAAAGAGUAUCAUCAACGGGAAGUGAGAGGUUAGUAAUAUAUCCCUCAUUUAAAAAAAAAAAAAGCGAAAAA
rnacentral:sRNA from 1 species